GUGGGGAAUAUUGGACAAUGGGCGCAAGCCUGAUCCAGCAAUGCCGCGUGGGUGAAGAAGGUCUUCGGAUCGUAAAGCCCUUUCGACAGGGACGAUGAUGACGGUACCUGUAGAAGAAGCCCCGGCUAACUUCGUGCCAGCAGCCGCGGUAAUACGAAGGGGGCUAGCGUUACUCGGAAUUACUGGGCGUAAAGGGCGCGUAGGCGGCUCUGUUAGUCAGGCGUGAAAUUCCUGGGCUUAACCUGGGGACUGCGCUUGAUACUGCAGGGCUUGAGGGCGAGAGAGAGUGGUGGAAUGCCCAGUGUAGAGAUGAAAUUCGUAGAUAUUGGGAAGAACACCGGUGGCGAAGGCGACCACCUGGCUCGGUUCUGACGCUGAGGCGCGACAGCGUGGGGAGCAAACAGGAUUAGAAACCCCAGUAGUCC
rnacentral:rRNA from 1 species